AAUGCUCCGCUUUCACAGCAGGGAGCUGCUGCAGCUUUGAACCGCCCACUGCAUUUCUCUCCAAGACUGCGGGGCGAUCCGCGGCGGCUCAGGGUUUAUUUUUAGCUGGGCGGGAAGCGGGCCGCUCCCAACCCGCUGCACGAAGCUGCAGGCUGACCGCCGUGGCGCGGGGGAAGAAAUGUUUCCAAUUAGUCUGAGACGGACGAUCAAGAAACCAGAAGGAGCCGAGAGGAAUGACAGAAUAACCAACGCUCGUUUCCAUCAUGGCCGCCUGCGGCAUCGUCAUGGAAACGAUUAUGGCUGAAAGGAAGAAAACUAAAACCUGGAACAAAAACAUGAA